UACCAGCACCCCGAGUGGUCGGGACGUUAUUGGGCCUAAAGCAUCCGUAGCCGGUUCUACAAGUCUUCCGUUAAAUCCAACUGCUUAACAGGUGGGCUGCGGAAGAUACUAUAGAGCUAGGAGGCGGGAGAGGCAAGCGGUACUCGAUGGGUAGGGGUAAAAUCCGUUGAUCCAUUGAAGACCACCAGUGGCGAAGGCGGCUUGCCAGAACGCGCUCGACGUGAGGGAUGAAAGCUGGGGGAGCAAACGG
rnacentral:rRNA from 1 species